GUCACCAUCUACAGGCAGAGACCAGCAGACAGGCACCAAAGAUAAAACCUCAACCACCUUCACUGGAUGUGCCUGAUGAGAUGUGGAGGCCCUGCUGGAGACCCUAACAGGGUAAAAGUAAAGUUCUGUCUCCCCUACACCUUGAACCAGAGUGAAGCAUGAUGGAAGAACAGAAGAGGAAGGCAUGGGAGAAAACUAAGGGGGAACAUCCCUAACGUUGAACAUAAGCAUAACCGAACCUAGCGAUCUGAGAUGAAUAGUGUAGCCACACUGGAAGAAAAAAAAAUAACCAACUGAAAUGACUUUUGGGCGCAGUGCAUCGACUAUAAACAUCUUCAAGUCCAAAGACAAGAACUGCAAACACAUACUGAACUGUCCCAUAGUAGGGACCCGAUCACCCAGGAACACACAACACUUCAAUCAUUUUGCUCCUAUCUGAAGAGGAUAUUUACCUUUACCUCCACUCGAUCUCCGGAAAGAAUCUUCUUGUACAGAAGAGGAAAAGAC